rnacentral:rRNA from 1 species
GACGAACGCUGGCGGCGCGCCUAACACAUGCAAGUCGAACGAGCGAGAGAGAGCUUGCUUUCUCGAGCGAGUGGCGAACGGGUGAGUAACGCGUGAGGAACCUGCCUCAAAGAGGGGGACAACAGUUGGAAACGGGUGCUAAUACCGAAUGUGACAGCAAUCUCGCAUGAGGAUGCUGUGAAAGAUGGCCUCUAUUUAUAAGCUAUCGCUAGAGGAUGGGCCUGCGUCUGAUUAGCUAGUUGGUGGGUAACGGCCUACCAAGGCGAUGAUCAGUAGCCGGUCUGAGAGGAUGAACGGCCACAUUGGGACUGAGACACGGCCCAG